CUAACCAGAUUUGAGUUAAUACAGCUAGUGUCUCCAGUGUGGCAAGAGUUGGCCUACUAUGAAGAAAACACACGGGACUUUCUCUUCCCUGAGCCACGGCUGACACCUUCGCACCCUGGGAUGUGUAGGGAGGUGCUCAUGAAGACAGUUGAAGGCUUCCCAGGCAUUGCUCCUAAAAUAGAGUUUUCUACAAGGACAGCCAUCAGAGAACGUGUGUUUCUCCAUAGAAACAGA